CCUGACUGCUACCGGAUUGAUACUAAAGCCAUGCGAGUCUUUGUAGUAAUACAAGGCAGACGGCUCAGUAACGCGUAGUCAACCUACCCUAUGGACGGGAAUAAUCUCGGGAAACUGAGCAUAAUACCCGGCGUACCACCAUUCCUGGAAUGGUUGGUGGUUAAAAUGAUUCGUCGCCGUAGGAUGGGACUGCGACCUAUCAGCUUGUUGGUGGGGUAAAGGCCCACCAAGGCGAUUACAGGUACGGGCUCUGAGAGGAGAAGCCCGGAGAUGGGUACUGAGACACGGACCCAGGCCCUAUGGGGCGCAGCAGGCGAGAAAACUUUGCAAUGUGCGAAAGCACGACAAGGUUAAUCCGAGUGAUUUCUGCUAAAGGAAUCUUUUGCCAGUUCUAAAAAUACUAGUGAAUAAGGGGUGGGCAAGUUCUGGUGUCAGCCGCCGCGGUAAAACCAGCACCUCAAGUGGUCAGGAGGAUUAUUGGGCCUAAAGCAUCCGUAGCCUGCUCUGUAAGUUUUCGGUUAAAUCUAUAUGCUCAACGUAUAGGCCGCCGAAAAUACUGCAGUGCUAGGAAGUGGGAGAGGUAGACGGUACUUGAUAGGAAGGGGUAAAAUCCUUUGAUCUAUCGAUGACCACCUGUGGCGAAGGCGGUCUACCAGAACACGUUCGACGGUGAGGGAUGAAAGCUGGGGGAGCAAACCGGAUUAGAUACCCGGGUAGUCCCAGCUGUAAACGAUGCAGACUCGAUGAUGCAUUGGCAUAUAGCCAGUGCAGUGUCGCAGGGAAGCCGUUAAGUCUGCCGCCUGGGAAGUACGUACGCAAGUAUGAAACUUAAAGGAAUUGGCGGGGGAGCACCACAAGGGGUGAAGCCUGCGGUUC
rnacentral:rRNA from 1 species